rnacentral:rRNA from 1 species
GUGGGGAAUAUUGGACAAUGGGCGCAAGCCUGAUCCAGCAAUGCCGCGUGGGUGAAGAAGGUCUUCGGAUCGUAAAGCCCUUUCGACAGGGACGAUGAUGACGGUACCUGUAGAAGAAGCCCCGGCUAACUUCGUGCCAGCAGCCGCGGUAAUACGAAGGGGGCUAGCGUUACUCGGAAUUACUGGGCGUAAAGGGCGCGUAGGCGGCUCUGUUAGUCAGGCGUGAAAUUCCUGGGCUUAACCUGGGGACUGCGCUUGAUACUGCAGGGCUUGAGGCCGAGAGAGGGGGGUGGAAUUCCCAGUGUAGAGGUGAAAUUCGUAGAUAUUGGGAAGAACACCGGUGGCGAAGGCGACCACCUGGCUCGGUUCUGACGCUGAGGCGCGACAGCGUGGGGAGCAAACAGGAUUAGAAACCCCUGUAGUCC